UCUGAGACCAGAAAUCUUACUAGCGUGAUGUAAAGAUACGUGCGUUUUUGCUAGCGCCACCUAUUGAGCGUAAAGCUAUCUAUUUACUAUAUUUUUUUAUUUUUUUUGUCAGGUUAAGAAGAAAAUAUUAAAAAAACAUAUGUGUUGUGAGAAAUAUUAAGUUUUAUUAUUCAUUUUAUGCCAGUAAGGUAAAACAGAUAAUGUAUUUACUUGCUUGUAAUUAUAAUGUGAUUUGAAGCCUGAAGUCUUGAAGAGUCUUUACUAUUGAAAUUCUAGAUAUAAACUUCCACUAUGAAAGUUUUGAUUGUUAUUGAAAUUGGUUUGACUUCGUUUCAUGUCAAUUGACUUUGGAAUACGCAUUGCAGCUGCAGUGACAUUAAUUGCAGUAUUCGUUAUAAGGAAUAUGUCUUGUGGCUCCUAUCAUAGGCCCUAAUGUUAAAAGAGCAUUUUAUUUCUUCUAUAAUGUUAUUUAUGAAUAGACAGUAGUUUUUAAUUGUUUGAUGUUUAUAUACAAGAACUGAUAUUUUGUUUAAUAACAUAAUAUAUUGUUAUAUAAUUUGAAUAGCUAAAUUAUUUUGAGUUUGAACGUUAACAAGUAAUAACUGCUGGUAUACGCAUUGCAGCGAUAUUGGUUCAAUUUUCCAUAGUGUCUAAAGGGAAUCUUGUGAGCGGGAUUAUGGGAUGAGAUAAUUGAAUUCAAGAGAAUCAGUGCAGAGACGACUUGUUUACAAAUACGCCUUAACAAAAUAGUACGCAGUACGUCAUAAGGUAAUCAAAUAAGACGAAAUUCUCUCCGAUUCUUCUCAAAUAAUCACCAUGGCGACGCUGGAACCAUCUUUCAUCACUUCAUUUACUUCUUCGCAUAUAGACGAUAAAGGAUCAAGAUGAAAGCGUUUUUAUACAAUAUUUAAGACGAACUAUUACGUAUUUAAAGUUUUAUUUGACAUAGAUACAAUAAAUAUAAAUUUAAUUUUAAAAAUUA